AUUGAACGCUAGCGGCAGGCCUAACACAUGCACGUCGAACGAGUGGCGGACGUGUGAGUCAUGGCUGGGAAACUGCCUGGUUGAGGGGGAUAACUCCCGGAAACGGUAGCUAAUACCGCAAACCCACGGCUGAGCCCAGAUGGCAUUAUCUAGUAGGUGGGGUAAAGGCUCACCUAGGCGACGAUGCCUAGCUGGUCUGAGAGGAUGACCAGCCACACUGGAGUGGAUAAACGGUCCAGACUCCUACGCGAGGCAGCAGUGGCGAAUAUUGUACAAUGGGGGCAAGCCUGAUGCAGCCCUGCCGCGUGUAUGAAGAAGGCCUUCGGGUUGGAAAGUACUUUCAGCGGGGAGGCGUUACCCGCAGAAGAAGCACCGGCUAACUCCGUGCCAGCAGCCGCGGUAAUAC
rnacentral:rRNA from 1 species